rnacentral:rRNA from 1 species
UACGUAGGGUGCAGGCGUUAAUCGGAAUUACUGGGCGUAAAGCGUGCGCAGGCGGUUUCUUAAGUCAGAUGUGAAAGCCCCGGGCUUAACCUGGGAACUGCGUUUGAAACUGGGAGACUUGAGUGUGGCAGAGGGGGGUGGAAUUCCACGUGUAGCAGUGAAAUGCGUAGAUAUGUGGAGGAACACCGAUGGCGAAGGCAGCCUUCUGGGCCAACACUGACGCUCAUGCACGAAAGCGUGGGGAGCAAACAGG